GACGAACGCUGGCGGCGUGCUUAACACAUGCAAGUCGAACGGAAAGGCCCUGCUUUUGUGGGGUGCUCGAGUGGCGAACGGGUGAGUAACACGUGAGUAACCUGCCCUUGACUUUGGGAUAACUUCAGGAAACUGGGGCUAAUACCGGAUAGGAGCUCCUGCUGCAUGGUGGGGGUUGGAAAGUUUCGGCGGUUGGGGCUGGACUCGCGGCUUAUCAGCUUGUUGGUGGGGUAGUGGCUUACCAAGGCUUUGACGGGUAGCCGGCCUGAGAGGGUGACCGGCCACAUUGGGACUGAGAUACGGCCCAGUCUCCUACGGGCGGCAGCAGUGGGGAAUAUUGCACAAUGGGCGGAAGCCUGAUGCAGCAACGCCGCGUGCGGGAUGACGGCCUUCGGGUUGUAAACCGCUUUCGCCUGUGACGAAGCGUGAGUGACGGUAAUGGGUAAAGAAGCACCGGCUAACUACGUG
rnacentral:rRNA from 1 species